AGGCGACGAACAGGAGCUUUUGAAGUCAGGAUGUCGCUCCUAUUGCUGCCCUUCGUGUGACUUAACAAAGCAGGGUGUUCAGCCUAGCGACAGCGACACAAUGGCGUGCUCCCUGCAGCUUUCCUUUUUCCAAACAGUUUUCUCCAUCUUGCGGCCCACACGGUGACCUUGACGGCUGCAUGGCAGGUGUGCUUCGCCUCCUUUUCGACGCGCUAGCGGCCAUCACGUUCCUGAGUGGCCAAUUCGUUCCGGCUGCGAGAGGAGAAUGAACGCCUUCGUAAGGACCACUAGUGUGCCCUGGAGCAACAGACACAAGUCGUCGCCUCCGUUCGAGCGGAGGUUCGCUGGCGACGAGUUGUUGCGUCGAGCAACUGCCACGCCUGCGAAGUCACUCGUCGGCGCCGGAAGGUCUUCUACUUACUCUACCGCUGCCUCGUCACUGUGUUUCUACGCACUGGAGAACAACGAACCGCCGUUUUCCCACGUGGUUUCACUUUGACCAUUGCAAAUGCCCCUGAUACUAAAAACCAAGAGUCCUGCGUCAGUUGGAGCCCUAAACAGUUCGACAUUUUCUGCAGUUCAACAGCCGCAAUGACCUAAGACCAAUUUUGUUUCUAAAUUGAGCACUGAAACCGCCUCUUCCAACCUGACGAAGCACUUGAAGGCCUCCAAUAAUUCUCCCCUCUCCUGCCCUCGCUUUAGAACAAUAUAUCAGUCGUAUUCUUCUUUUCAUGUAGCCAUCAGUGAUGAAGCCCUUAGGCGCCUGAAUUGAAUGUUGUCAAUGUGACCAACGGGAUGCCUGUUCAGCCGUUCCAUCAUAUGCUUCAUACUUUCGAGGUGAUACUGCCUCUCUUGGGUCAGCUGUCGCCUGUUACGCCGGCACCACUGCGAAUGGUCAUGCCACAAGCCUCUUGGUGUCCUGGAGCCACGAGGAAUUGUGCGACCGGAUCGCAAGCGAAGUGCGAAGCGUCUUCAUGUGCACCACAUUUCCCACCACUAGUUCUGGACGCUUCAGCGUACUCAGUCUGGCAACAUGGAACAGCAUAAGCUGACGGAGCAGCUUUAAACGAGCCCAUUUCAUCGAUGCACCUGGCCACGGCACCGCAAUUACGAUGUCACACUCACCAUUGAUGUCCUUCCAGGUAGUACAAGAAUACAGAAGAUUGCCACUUUGCAAGGUGGAUACGGCACAGACUUCGCAAGCACUAUAGAAAGCCUUUUCCACCCUGCUAGUACUGAAAAUCGGGAAGAUAUUUCCAUCGGGGCCGUACACAAGCUUUCAAUUUGCAGAUUACUCAGGUAUUCUACAUUUUUCAAGUUCUUACAGCCCUCGGGAUGCAUUCCUAGAUUUGGCACUGUAGCUGGCCUUUGCCACAGUGGCAUAACAAGCUUUGAAUGCUAGGUACAUGACGACAGAUAAACCAAAUGCUGCAAUUCAAUUCCUACACAACAGAGGCCUUACCGCACACAUGUAAUAUGUUCGAAAAUGUUAUGCCUUAAGCCAAGUGGCCACGGCAAUACAAAAAGAAAGAAAAACAGUUUUCACUCUAUAUGAUUAUUAGGGUUUCUGCUACAGCGCCGUUUAGUAUAAAAUCUUGAAGUGCACUAAAAUACUUACGAACAAUACAGUUAUACUUACUUUAUACAGUUAUACAAUACUUUUAUACUUGCGUAUAAAAGCUUGAAGUGCACUAAAAUACUUACGAACAAUACAGACAACACAAAAGUCCGAGCAUGGCGGCGGGUAACUGACAAAAUGUUAUGGUUAUUGGUUAUACACCGUCUGCCAUGAAACGCAAGGCGCCCUUCUUACGGCAAAUUUCUCGGCUUUUCCGACUGCCGAAGCUAAGCAGCAUUCAGUGCAGUCAUCACAAAAGGAGCAGACCACUUCUUGGUACACACCAAACUUUCUCCUCCUAUUGCGGAAUACUCCAGAUGACGACCCCACGUGCCACAUGCUCUUGAUGUUUUCAAGCAAAGCAGA